GUUGAUGAAACUCUGAACUCGUAGAUGAAUCUUAUAAAAUUUGUCUUCCAUGAAAUUAAAAUAAAACUGUUUAUUUCUUGUAGCAAUUUGAAUCCUAAUUUUUCCGUCUCUAGAAAAGAAACAAAACUGCCAAUAUACAGUACUUGAUAUUGGGCCUUAGGGUUUAAAAACAAGUGACCCGCUAAUUAAUAUUAUUACAAAAGUUCAUAUUACGAAAUCUGCAAUUUAGGUCCAAUAAAGUUUAGAAUUGGUCUUUUCUUCCAACAUAAAAGUUGUAGCUCAUAUUUUUAUCUUUCCAACGCCUGCUCAUAUGCGCCAAUCUGAUAUUCAGACCUCAAGUUAUGACCUACAGAACGAAAAAGAAUCAAAAUACAAAUAAUAAAAUUAAAAUGCAAUAAUAAAAUUAUAAUUCAAAUUCGACUUAAAGUUUAGAAACAAGCUAAAAAUAUUAAUCUAUGCUUUAAAGAGCUUUUAAAAUACUAAACUAAAAAGCUAAAAACAUGUGCCCAAAUGCUAUGAUCAUUAUACUACCAACUUUGACUACUUCAACUUUGACAAUUCAAUUGAAAUAUCCAAUGACAUAUGAUUUUGAAUAUACUACCCCUCAUUUAAAAGCUUAUAAUGUCUUGUUUAUGAAUAUAGUUUUCAUUUUUCAAGUUAAGUUCCCAAUUGGUAUAGUUUGUCAAAACAAUAUAUAAAUAUUCUAAAAAAAACUGAGAAACAACUUUAAUCUAAGUAUGACACAUUUUUCUCUAUCAAUUUUCAAUUAAAUUUAGUGAAAUCAAUAUAUAUUACAUAGGAAAUUAAAUGUAGUUUUCAAUGGUUCAAAAAUACACUCCAAACGAUUUCUAUGGAAAAAGUUACAGAGUAAAUACCAAAUGUACUGCAUACGUGAUUUGGGGGACAACAACUACAUUUUUAUCAAAUGUCUUAUAUGCAAGUCAUCACACUAUCAAUUGAUGCUCAAGAUACAUGCAUGUUUCAGCCAAUCAAUCAUAAUGCAAUAUCUAGUCAGUAUAACUAUCAAUUUCACAUCUAAUACAAGUUCUAACAUUGAUUUCUAACAUGAAGUUUUCUCAAUUGAAUACGCAUAAAUUAUCCAAUUUGCAUGCAAGUUUUGGUUCCUUCUAAUCAUCAAUUUUUAGCCACAAUCUAAUCUAAUCACUAUCCUAACAUCAAAUUAAAGGUGGGGGAGGAAACUCACUCUUUGUUGAUUUGCUACUUGAAAAGGGGAGAUUAUCCAUUAUCUUAACCUUUUGGAAAUAAUAGAUCAUUUCUUCGGUUGUUGCUCUCUUGUGUCCCCAGACUCCCCAACAAUUCUUCCUCUAUUUUAUUUUUAUAACACUUGAAAGACCCAUUCGUUUGAUUAUCAAGUCAAAAAUCAUCAAAAAGUCCACUUUGAAAGUCCCACAUGGAGCAGAUUCUUGGAUUUUUGAAUCAUCAUCAAAUUAUACGAACACUUACUUUGAGUCCCUUAAAAAAAAACCACAAAAAAUCUAGAGAAAAAAAGUUAAGCGGAUAUUAUAAUUUGAGCUUAAAUAUCUUGAAAUUUUAAUUUUUGGGACAAGACAACAAUACAAAUUUGUAAUUUGCUUUCUAAAAAAAGGAAAAAGGAAGAAAAGAAAUGAAGAAUUGUGCCAUUGCUCUAAUUUGAAAAAGAAGUUGAGAUCGUACAAUUUCCUGUUCCUUCAUUCAAUCUCUACGAGUCCAUCACACUUCUUAUACUAGAGCAAAAUUUGAUAAGAAUUGACCGUAAAAUUUUCUUUAUCACUCAUGAUUUUUGCAGAAGCCAUUACAUAUGAAUAACCAUUACAUGUUACAGAGUUGAAAAACAUAUUUUCAGCCCUAUAUGAAAUAUAUGAAUGAAUAUGAAUAUACCAUUAUAGGUAUAAGUGUCAAUUUCAUAAACCCAUUAAUUAUUAGCAAUAGCCCACAUGUAUGAGAGAUAACAAAUUUCAUAAUUGAAAAAACUAAAAAAAAAAGUUUUCA
rnacentral:lncRNA from 1 species